rnacentral:tmRNA from 1 species
GGGGAUGCCAGGCAUCGAUAAUAAAAUUUUCUUAAAAGCAUUCAGAAGUGCUCAUCAAGGGCGCCACUUUAAACCGCGCUUGAAAACAAAAUAAGCGUCAAAAACUUAUUAAGCAAAGCGACAUUUUCUUGGAAAAUGCCGGCCUUUGCAACCGUUGCCGCUUAAUAGCCGCAACCAUCCGCCCGGUUUAGCCUAAGGGCCGGAUCACGGGUGCAAUAUUUUAGGCUCGGAUAGCCGGAUGCUUUAGCCGGUUAUUUUAAAAAAUUAAAGCUGGCUAGCGCCGAUUUUGUUCGGUUUUUACGGCGCUAGCGAUAAAACAAACCGGUCUAAUCUGUAAAUAUGCUCUAAGAAAUUUAUUAGACAGGGGUUCAAUUCCCCUCAUCUCCACAA